CACGUGAGGCGCAAGCGUUGUCCGGAAUUAUUGGGCGUAAAGAGCUCGUAGGCGGUCUGUUGCGUCCGCUGUGAAAACUCGGGGCUUAACCCCGAGCCUGCAGUGGAUACGGGCAGACUAGAGGUAGGUAGGGGAGAAUGGAAUUCCCGGUGUAGCGGUGAAAUGCGCAGAUAUCGGGAGGAACACCGGUGGCGAAGGCGGUUCUCUGGGCCUUACCUGACGCUGAGGAGCGAAAGCGUGGGGAGCGAACAGG
rnacentral:rRNA from 1 species